rnacentral:hammerhead_ribozyme from 1 species
AUCCAACUGACGAGUCCUAAAUAGGACGAAAUGCGCGUCCUGGAA